UACGGGGGGGGCAAGCGUUGUUCGGAAUUACUGGGCGUAAAGGGCGUAGUAGGCGGCCAACUAAGUCCGGACGUGAAAUCCCCAGCUUAACCUGGGAACUGCGUCGGAUACUGGAUGGCUUGAAUCCGGGAGAGGGAUGCGGAAUUCCGGUGUAGCGUGAAUGGCGGUAAGAUAUCUGGAGGAACACCGGUGGCGAAGGCGG
rnacentral:rRNA from 1 species